UGUGUGUGUGUGUGUGUGAUUUCCUUUUAUAAACUGCUCUCAGGGUUAACAGAUACUACAGUUCCUGAUAUCAAGCCCAUUCCCUGUGGACUCUUAACACACACGAGCAUGAUGUACACUGUGCACUCCACAGCAACCUGGCUCUUCCGUUUGUGCUGGUUUGGAACAGCGUUGAUUUUCAGGUUUCCUCAGUACCUCCUGUCUCCUCCUCCCAUCUAAAACUUGCAUCUGUUCUUUAGCUGCUGGUGACGCAGCCUUCUCUUCUGAGAAUAUGGGAGACAUGCAUCUCUUUUAACAACUUCCGUAGAGAACUGAGCUGAGUACCCCUAGGGUAGGGAUAGAGGGGCAGUAGUGAGCUGAGUACUACAACACAUACUGAAAGCUUACAUUAAGCCAAAAUCAUUGCCCAAGUGUAUUAAAUGUAUAUUUAAAAUUUAACCAAGGAAAAAAAAACCAAGACUCUAGAAAGCUCUAUAAAGCUCCCAAACCAAAUAUUCUCCCCGUUUCUUUGAUUCUGUUCUGGCUAGUGAGCUCUGAGGAUGAGCAUGAACUGUGCUAAUGUGUUUAAUGAGAGUUCAUUGCUUGCACUAACCAAGAUGAGACCGUAAAGAACACGGAAUCUUUUCAAGAUAGGACACAAAAACGGAUGAGACUGUAAAGAACACAGAAUUAUUUCAAGGUAGGACACAAAAAAGGGGUGAGAUCAUAGAGAACACGGAAUCAUUUCAAGGUAGGACACAAAAAGGGAUGAGACCGGAAAGAAAACGGAAUCAUUUCAAGGUAGGACACAAAAAGAGAUGAGACUUUAAAGAACACGGAAUCAUUUCAAGGUAGGACACAAAAAGGGAUGAGACUGUAAAGAACACGGAAUCAUUUCAAGGUAGGGAAUAGAAAGGGAAGCGAAAUCGAAGCUGUAAAAUGUUUUUUUUUUUUUUCAAGCAAAACAAAACAGAAACCAGAAAGGAGAAGAAAAACUGUUUGGAGGCUGGCUAGAAGGCACACCCAGGACCAGGCUGGUUGAGGUCUCAUUAUGGCCUCCGUCCUGCGGUAGGGCCUGAUGUAAACAUCUCACGGCUACUGUGGGUGUUAUGUCAAAACACUGGUGACAGCGCAUCGGGAGCAACAGAUUGAUAAACUCUGCCAACACUCUUCCCUCCUCUCACAUUCUCUUCAAACAAAUGAAACAAGUCUGGGGAGAGGAUGCUGGCAGGAGAGGCGUGGGGUUGGAAGUGAAGGACUGUUUGGCCUGCUGAGGAAGGGUGAUUUUUAUAAAGAGAUCUUUAAGGAAAUGUUAGGAGUGGCUACCAAUAAUAUCCUUUAGCACAUGCAGGAAGGACAUUCAAGAACCCUCCAAUCAGUCAGUGAAGAGCAUGUCAGAUUAUCACCGUGUUUUGUUCCUGCAGAAAGGAAGACAGCUAACUUGAUACACGGUAGGGCAUGGGGUCAUGGUUUAGCACAGGGGUGAGGGAGCUGGGGGGAUGGGGUGGUGGUGGGUGGCUUUUGGGCAGCAGAUGUCUGACUAUGAGAAUCUGACUAUAGGAAUGAUGGUCACGGCAACACUGUCAAGGCCUUUCCAACCCUUCUGCCUUCUUGAAUGAUUUCAGACUUUUUUGCCUUUGGAUCACGGAUGACAAAAUCACUUGUGACAAAUUCUGCUGGGUGUACUGUCAUUGAACUACACUGAGACGUGUCAGAAUGACCAGCCCUGAGGCCUUCACUGUAGCAGAAACAUGGCUGAGGAAUGCCCUGCUGUGCUCAGAGAGCCCAAGAGAAGUCCUAUUUCUCGGCUCUUAGCCUGGCUUUAAUCUCCUGGAGCUUUUACUAUUGCAAACAUUUAUCCCCACUGUCUUGCUCUUGAGUACUUCGUCUGAACGACCUCUGAUCUACGGCAAUGGCCGUGUUCUUAGCCUCGUAAACAGCAAUGAACCAACCCCAUGCUACUGUAGCUUUCUGGUUUUACUGUAGUUAUUAAAAA
rnacentral:sRNA from 1 species